rnacentral:lncRNA from 13 species
ACGCCUUCACAAGAAAGGCACAACGUGGAAUAGACGUUGACAUUGACCUCUGUUUACACUGGGACGGAGCUUCUGGAGCUGAAGAGGCCUGAGCCUGUGUAAUGUUACUGGCUAGCGCGCUCUCUCUCUCUCUCUUCAAAGGAGUUUUGCGUAUUGCUCUGAUUUCUCUGGCUUGUCACUGCCCCCUGGUGGUUGUCGAUUGCCAUAGCAGACUUGUCAAACGUUGGAUCAUAGCCAAGUAAGUGCAUUCAAUUCACGACAUGAUAUUUAAUAUACAGGAUAUUCCGGUCCCUUAUAAUCCCUAAUAUAAGUUACAAAUACAAUGUUGAUCAUAGUAGGACUAUCUGCACACCUGAUAAGCCUGGAUAUGCAGGUCCAAAGGACAGUAUAAGCAUCAACAUGGCAUGUAUUAUUAUUUUAUAACUGGUACGUAGUAUACGUUUUGUGUAGUGUUUCAUGUUCAUGAAGGGGUCAUGGGAAUGAACCGUUUGGGAUCCACUGCCAUAAUAGACCUAGCAGGGUUGUGGUGAAUUCCAUUUCGACACCAGUCAGUUCAGGAAGUACACUGGAAUUCAAAUGGAAUUGACCCCAACCCUGCUGCCUAGAUCGAAUGUGCCAACUUUGAGAUAAACAUUGGGCUUGUUCCCACUAGAGGGCAUCAUCCUAGAGGGCAAUGGAAUGAGUCCACAGUAACACAAGAAAGAACCGUGAGCAUUUCAAUAAAAUACGACAUAUAUUUUAUUUAUAAAACAAGUCUGUAUUUAUUUGACAAAAUUACUCAGAAUGUACAGCACCAUUUCAAUGAAAGUGAUUUUUGUCAUGAAGUGUAGAAGGUGAAAAUGAAAUGAAAUUAAAUGUACUUUUUCAGUCUUUGUAGAGGAGGGAUCUCAUGAGUAGUUUUAGCGAAUAUGAUGGAUAAGUGAAGAUAGUUCACUCAGGCCGUUUACCAUCGAAAAUAAAUAGUCCGUUCCAGUCUACUUAACUGGGUGUGUCGACUAUAGCCACCAAUGCAAUAGCAGCUGGGUCUGGUCCACUUACUUCAUUGAACCAGAAAAAGAAAACAGCAAGUUGGGUGUCUCUCUUCCUCUUCCAUCUCUGGUUUUAGUUUGGCUUCAGUGUCUGCCAAUAUCUUCAAAAGACUGUUGUAAACACUAAAGCAACACUGGAGAAAUGCAGAGGAGUUAUGUUGGAGCCUUGCAGUCGAUCUAUGAAGCAGUCCUUCACUUUUACAUUAGAAAGUGCAACUAGAAGAAAAACUGAAACGUUUUUCUAGUUUGAGGUUAAAUUCUGAAGGGAUAAGAGAGGCCUACCGGUAUUUUUUAAAAAGCUUUAAAGAAAGAGAGAAAAAAACAGGACAAUAUAUACUCAGGUUUUAAAACUCAGGUUAGUUUUAGAACAAUUGAUUUUAGAACAAUUGAUUUUUGAGGUGACAUGUCUACGAAUGACACGUGACAUAGUAUUUUGCUAUGGAAACCAGUCAACCUCCAACAGCCAGUAACCAUGCCCUCUAGGUCAUAAAGCUGUUAUGCAAACAACAACGUCUGUUUCAUACAUUACCUAUUUGCUUUUGAACAGACAAGAAACUUAGCAACGCCAAUAAAG